rnacentral:lncRNA from 1 species
AUUGAUUUGGAAUAUUUCUUAAUCCAUAAAGACAAACUGCUCCUCCGUUUUUGUCUUCGGAUGUCAUUUUAAACAGUGGUAUUAAAUCGGUGCAAAUGGAUAAACUUGAAACAUUUUGCAAUUUGCAGAUCCAAAUUCUGACGCAUUUAUCGUUGAUGGGGCAGCAAUGGUUAAUUCCAGGCCACCUUGUAGGGCAACAAUAUUGGAUGAUUUUGCAAUUGUGUCAUACGGCC